AGUGAACGCUGGCGGUAGGCCUAACACAUGCAAGUCGAACGGCAGCACAGUAAGAGCUUGCUCUUACGGGUGGCGAGUGGCGGACGGGUGAGGAAUACAUCGGAAUCUACUUUUUCGUGGGGGAUAACGUAGGGAAACUUACGCUAAUACCGCAUACGACCUACGGGUGAAAGCAGGGGAUCUUCGGACCUUGCGCGAUUGAAUGAGCCGAUGUCGGAUUAGCUAGUUGGCGGGGUAAAGGCCCACCAAGGCGACGAUCCGUAGCUGGUCUGAGAGGAUGAUCAGCCACACUGGAACUGAGACACGGUCCAGACUCCUACGGGAGGCAGCAGUGGGGAAUAUUGGACAAUGGGCGCAAGCCUGAUCCAGCCAUACCGCGUGGGUGAAGAAGGCCUUCGGGUUGUAAAGCCCUUUCGUUGGGAAAGAAAAGCAGCAGGUUAAUACCCCGCUGUUCUGACGGUACCAAAGAAUAAGCACCGGCUAACUUCGUG
rnacentral:rRNA from 1 species